GACCUUCUGAUGCUUACCACAGGGUGUGUUCUUACACUGUCUGUAUAGAAAGAGGAGGCAAAGUAAAACUAUUCCAUACACACCUCAGCCCAGGCCCUGUGCCUCAUCUGUAUUGUGAAUGGGGAGACACAG
rnacentral:snoRNA from 1 species